UAUUAUUUGGUGCAAAAUUUUUACAGUCUUUCAAAAGCCCCCCGCCCCCCCCAAUAAUAUUGAAAGACUGUAAAAAUUUUGCACCAAAUAAUA